UUCUGCGGACUGCGGGCGACGCGGGCGAAUUAGCGAAAUAGCGAGAGCAAUAGCCGGAACUAAGUGGAACACGGAAUUCAUUACGGGAAUGUGUUUGAGCAAUUACACAUCGAUGUACCGUAUACGCCGCGCGCGCUUGUUGAUUGGAUUUGAGUUUAUGCCAAGGAACGGUAUAGACCACUAUAAUGAACUUUCAAUUAGUGCCGUGGUCCCAACCUUGACAGUGGAGGUCAGUGGCUCUCAUCCUGCCGAUGUGAACGGGCUGGCAUAAAGGCAAAAAUGCCCAACCCCGAUCCGCGUAUAGCGGAGGAUAAUCACAACGUCGCCGGCGGGCGUCACAGGUGAAAUCGAAAUCGGUUUGUUGGCUAAUUGACGCAGAUUUAUCUUUCACGCGCACAAAUAACUUUCUUCCCAGCCACUUAUAAAAAUUCAUCUUAAUUACAAAUCACAUAGACAGCCGUAGAUAUUUUCAAAUUUUAUAGUCGUACACUUGUACUUCAGCUGUGUACCUAUACCUUUUCUUUCUUUAUGGAAAAAAUAAUUAUCUAUUAAUGAAUCGUAUAAAUCGUAUGUAUAAAUCGCGCUUUCGAUCUCUGACUGCAGACCUUAAUUGUUGUUCUUGUUUCGAUUGAAUAUCAAAAUGGAUUUUUUAAAAUCGUUCUCUAAAUUGCAAGUAGUUUAAAAUUUUAAUCGAAGCGGGAGACUCCGGUGUUUUUAAAUCUCUCUCGCUGAACAAUAAGGGGAAAGGGGGGCUCGAUGCACCUAUCUCGCAAUAGAUCCCCGCGCGUGUUACGCGGAAAAUCAAUUACGAUCUGUCCCGAAGCGUAUAAAAAGACCGACAAUGUAAACAACAGACGGGUCAUCGUUCGAUCUGACAUUACCCUACGGCGUUAUUACUGCAAUUGUAUACGCGACGACUGUGUACACGAUGUGCCGAUCCCCCACGACUAUAUCAUCAUCGCGCUCGCCGCAGCGGUGUAAGAGGAAACGCGAUGCAUCGGCGAAAUGCUCCAUUUCCCAGAUACCUCGUUGUUGUGCCUCGUUAUACUGGGAGAGAAUGGGGUAGAGGGGGAGGGGGAAGAUCGGUAAGCUAUGCAGUAUUUAAGUACCGUUUUCUACGGCGGAGGUAUCCGCGCGGUCGGUUUCCGCGGUGCUCAAUUAAUCGGCUUGAUUAACGAGCGUUCCCGUCAACGGCCACCAGGCCCAUUAUUCGCGGACUCGCGCAACUUUUUUACCCGCGCUUUUACAUAUAUAUACAUAUAGAUACCCCCGGCGCGGCGUUUCCGUUGCCCCCGAGAGGAUCGCUGAACUUUGGACCGGCCGUAUAUUUCUCGCGACGCCUCGGCAAGUGUUGCGCAAGCGAUUUUAAGUUGUACAGCCGAGAUGCAUUGCAAAGCGAAAAAUUGGACUCGGCCGGAGAAAGGCGAUACCCUGCGUGUGCUUACACGUCAGAUUAUACACAUGCAUCGCGAAGCGACAGAAGAAUCAUCGGCUGCUUUUCCACCAUUCGGAGGCGAAGGGCGAUAAAGCGUAAAUAGGUCGCCGAGGCGAUAAGUUACGAAUAUGAUUGGAUCCGAUACGAUCUUCACAGAUGUAGGUCAUGUUCUUCGCAGAGGUCUAUAUUUCGAGCGGGAUAUUUCGGAUGCGAUUAUCCAGCGAGGAUGAUUUCGCCAUUUACUCACGAGGCGUUGGGAAUCAUCGCCCCUCGCCGCCUUGGAGGCUGCACACACACGUAUAUAGGACGUGGAGGACUUGAAGGGGGAACGUAUAAAAUCAGUACGUCUCGAGAAUGAAAUCACGUCGCUCGUAUAUGAGACAGUAAAAUGAUGGAAUAGCGUCUCGCGUGUAACGCUCCCGAGAUUUACGACGGGGAACUUGACGACGGCGACGACGAUCCACGUGCACUCGCGGCGUUUACACUCGAGACGUCGAUGGUGUUGCAACAGGCGACUGUACACGGGGCUGUUUACCGAACUGUUUACAGCUGUUUUGCGCUCGAAAGUGUGUGCAUAAUUUAGACGGGACUGCGGCUAUUGUCGUGCCGAAUAAACUCCACGUUUCGCAUUAUUCGCUCCGUGAAUUACAUUGUAAAUGAGUAUACCGAUAAAGUUAUCCCGCAAUUUGCCGUCGUUAUUAAAAGUAAAUAAAACGCCCGCCCUGCGUAUACA